GUCAUAUUCCGGCUCCCGCGGUAUCAGAAGGCAGCCGCGAGGGAGCAGAGCAGAGAGGUUAGAGCUCCCUCGCCGCGUCUGAUCACAGCACUGCCGCACUGGACCCCAGGGAAUGAUUCAUCAUCCACACCAGCUCUCCAGGUAGGGAGGCAGGGUGGAAAAUGUUUAUUUAUUAAAAUAAUUAGUGAGUGUGUCUGUGAGUGUAUGUGUGUCUGUGAGUGUAUGUGUGUCUGUGAGUGAUUGUAUGAGUACUGCAUGUGAGUGUAUGAGUGUGGCAGUGUAUGUGUGUCUGUCAGUGUGUGUUUGUGAGUGUCUGUCAAAUCAGUGAGAGUAUCUUUGUCAUUGAGUCUGUGUGUGAGUAUCAGUGUGUCUGUCAAUGAAUGAGUGUCUGUCUGUGUGUGAGUGUCUGUGUGUGACUGUGUGUGUAUGUGUGUCUGUGUGUGAGUGUAUGUGUGACUGUGUGCCUGUGAGUGACUGUGAUUGAGUGUGUGUCUGUGUGCGAGUGUAUGUGUGCAUGAGUAUGUGUGUCUGUGAGUGUGUGUGCAUGAGUGUAUGUGUGUGUCUGUGAGUGAUUGUAUGAGUACUGCAUGUGAGUGUAUGAGUGUGGCAGUGUAUGUGUGUCUGUCAGUGUGUGUUUGUGAGUGUCUGUCAAAUCAGUGAGAGUAUCUUUGUCAUUGAGUCUGUGUGUGAGUAUCAGUGUGUCUGUCAAUGAAUGAGUGUGUCUGUCUGUGUGUGAGUGUCUGUGUGUGACUGUGUGUGUGUGUAUGUGUGUCUGUGUGUGAGUGUAUGUGUGCCUGUGAAUGACUGUGAUUGAGUGUGUGUCUGUGUGCGAGUGUAUGUGUGCAUGAGUAUGUGUGUCUGUGAGUGUGUGUGCAUGAGUGUAUGUGUGUGUCUGUGAGUGAUUGUAUGUGUGUCUGUCAGUGUGUGUUUGUGAGUGUCUGUCAAAUCAGUGAGAGUAUCUUUGUCAUUGAGUCUGUGUGUGAGUAUCAGUGUGUCUGUCAAUGAAUGAGUGUGUCUGUCUGUGUGUGAGUGUCUGUGUGUGACUGUGUGUGUGUGUAUGUGUGUCUGUGUGUGAGUGUAUGUGUGCCUGUGAGUGACUGUGAUUGAGUGUGUGUCUGUGUGCGAGUGUAUGUGUGCAUGAGUAUGUGUGUCUGUGAGUGUGUGUGCAUGAGUGUAUGUGUGUGUCUGUGAGUGAUUGUAUGAGUACUGCAUGUGAGUGUAUGAGUGUGGCAGUGUAUGUGUGUCUGUCAGUGUGUGUUUGUGAGUGUCUGUCAAAUCAGUGAGAGUAUCUUUGUCAUUGAGUCUGUGUGUGAGUAUCAGUAUGUCUGUCAAUUAAUGAGUGUGUGUCAGAUCAGUGAGUCUGUGUGUUUGUCAUUGAGUGUGUGUGACUGUCAGUGUGUAUAGACCACUGAGUGUUGCGUGGCGGAGCGCAGUACAGGAGCUUCUGUUUCCUGUACCCGGCCAGACUGACCGGAGGUGCUCACUGAGAGAGCACUCCCUGUCAGUCUGGCCAGGUACAGAAAAUUGAAGCUCC